CCCGCACAGGAGACCCUCCACUCCGGCAGGGUCGGAGCCGGCCAGAUCCCCCGGCGCUCGCUGGACACUCAGGGGCUGACCCGCGGGGCACCCAGCAUGCCCACCAAGACGCUCUGGCUGCCUCUGGCGUGGCUAGUGGCAACAGCCACGGUCACUGUCACCCCGGUGCUCACUCUGGAGGCCUCUCCCAGCUGGAUGACACUGCUUGGAGAGCCCCUGACAUCGCCUGUGCCCCCUGCUCGUACCCCAGCUCCCUCGCAGAACGUGGGGACCUCAGUCCUGCCCGAGCCCACCUCCAGCGCCCC